rnacentral:rRNA from 1 species
GAUGAACGCUGGCGGCGUGCCUAAUACAUGCAAGUCGAGCGAACAGAUGAUGAGCUUGCGCCGCGGACGUGAGCGGCGGACGGGUGAGUAACACGUGGAUAACGUACCUAUAAGAGGGGGAUAACUUGGGGAAACCGGAGCUAAUAGGGUAGAAGAUAUUGAAGCGCGUGGGGGGAUGGUAAAAGACGGUGGUGGUGGCACGAAUAGAGGGAUCCGCGCCGGAUUAGGUAGUUGGGAAGGUAACGGCUUACCAAGGCAACGAUGCGUAGCCGACCUGAGGGGGUGAUCGCCCACCUUGGAACUGAGCCACGGUCCAGACUCCUACGGGAGGCCGCAGUAGCCAAUCUUCCGCAAUGGGCGAAAGCCUGACGGAGCAACCCCGCGUCAGUGAUGACGGUCUUCGGAUCGUAAAACUCUCUUAUUAGGGAAGAACAACUGUCUCAGUAACUAUGCACGUCUUGACGGUACCUAAUCAGAAAGCCCCGGCUAACUACGUG